AGCUCCAGACUUCCCAUCUCGCUCACGUCAGAGGCAGGAACCGACUGUGCUAAAGCUGUUGGCUCAACACGCAGAGACAGACAGGAGCAGACCUAGAGAGAGGGAGCGAGGAAGGUGGUCUUUCCUGACCCAAGGAAUUACCACUAGUGGAGUAAAGCCACCUGACUUUCUGAUCUUAUUUUGGUUCUCUUCUUUCUCCUUCCACUCGCAGCCCUGCUGUGAAGCCUCCUCUCAGAAAAGAGGAAGGGAAAAGGGAGAGUGGUGGGCUCUUAGGUGAGAGCAUCAGCUGGCUCCAGCCCUAAGAGACAAGAAUUCUCUUCGCAGGAAGCUUCUCUCCCUCCUGGCUGCCCACCCCCAGCCCGGAUAUCCAUACCAUCCUAACUGUACAGAGAACAGAUAUCUUUCCGAGUGAGGGACAAAGAACGUGUGGUCAAGAGAAAACAUCGCAAAUACCAUCACAAAAGGCUCCUUCCACUCCAUGCUGCGCACUGCAGGCUGCCCCUGAACUGACCCCAGGCAGACAGGAGAGGAUGGGCACAGACGGGGACACAGUGGUCCUGAAGAACAUGCUCCUUGGUGUCAACUUGAUCCUGCUGGGCUCCAUGCUCAAGCCUUCAGAGUGUCAGCUGGAGGUGACCACAGAAAGGGUCCAGAGACAGGCGGUGGAGGAGGAAGGAGGUGUUGGCAACUACAACACAUCCAGGAAAGAGCAACCUGUGGUCUUCAACCACGUGUACAACAUUAAUGUGCCCCUGGACAGCCUCUGCUCCUCGGGGCUGGAGGCCUCGGCUGAGCAGGAGGUGAGUGCGGAAGACGAGGCUCUAGCAGAGUACACGGGCCAGACCUCAGACCACGAGAGCCAGGUCACCUUCACCCACAAGAUCAACCUCCCCAAAAAGGCCUGCCCGUGUGCUGGCUCAGGCCACAUGUUACGCGAGCUGCUGAGCCGGAUCGAGAUGCUGGAGAGGGAGGUGUCGGUGCUGCGGGACCAGUGCACCGCCAACUGCUGCCAGGAAAGCGCCGCUACAGGACAAUUGGACUAUAUCCCUCACUGCAGCGGCCAUGGCAACUUCAGCCUCGAGUCCUGUGGCUGCAUCUGCAAUGAAGGCUGGUUUGGCAAGAACUGCUCAGAACCCUACUGCCCGCUGGGCUGCUCCAGCCGAGGCGUGUGUGUGGAUGGUCAGUGCAUCUGCGACAGUGAAUACAGCGGGGACGACUGCUCCGAGCUCCGGUGCCCGACAGACUGCAGCUCCCGGGGGCUCUGCGUGGAUGGGGAGUGUGUCUGUGAAGAACCCUACACGGGCGAGGACUGCGGGGAGCUGAGGUGCCCCGGGGACUGCUCAGGGAAGGGGAGCUGUAUCAAUGGCACCUGUUUAUGUCAGGAAGGCUACAUCGGUGAGGACUGCGGACAGCGGCAGUGCCUGAAUGCCUGCAGCGGGCGAGGACUGUGCCAGGAGGGGCUCUGUGUCUGCGAAGAGGGCUACCAGGGCCCUGAUUGCUCGGCAGUUGCCCCUCCAGAGGACUUGCGAGUGGCUGGUAUCAGCGACAGGUCCAUUGAGCUGGAAUGGGACGGGCCGAUGGCAGUGACGGAAUAUGUGAUCUCUUACCAGCCGACGGCCCUGGGGGGCCUCCAGCUCCAGCAGCGGGUGCCUGGAGAUUGGAGUGGUGUCACCAUCACGGAGCUGGAGCCAGGUCUCACCUACAACAUCAGCGUCUACGCUGUCAUUAGCAACAUCCUCAGCCUUCCCAUCACUGCCAAGGUGGCCACCCAUCUCUCCACUCCUCAAGGGCUGCAAUUCAAGACCAUCACAGAAACCACCGUGGAGGUGCAGUGGGAGCCCUUCUCCUUCUCCUUCGAUGGGUGGGAGAUCAGCUUCAUUCCAAAGAACAAUGAAGGAGGAGUGAUUGCUCAGCUCCCCAGCGAUGUCACCUCCUUUAACCAGACAGGACUAAAGCCCGGGGAGGAGUACAUUGUCAAUGUGGUGGCUCUGAAAGGGCAAGCACGGAGCCCCCCGACCUCGGCCAGCGUGUCCACAGUCAUUGAUGGGCCCACACAGAUCCUGGUGCGAGAUGUCUCUGACACUGUGGCCUUUGUGGAGUGGACCCCUCCUCGUGCCAAAGUUGAUUUCAUCCUCCUGAAAUAUGGCCUGGUGGGUGGGGAAGGCGGGAAAACCACCUUCCGGCUGCAGCCUCCCCUGAGCCAAUACUCAGUGCAAGCCCUGCGGCCUGGCUCCCACUAUGAGGUGUCUGUCAGUGCAGUCCGAGGGACCAACGAGAGCGAGUCUACGACUACCCAGUUUGCCACAGAGAUCGAUGCUCCCAAGAACCUGCGAGUUGGUUCCCGCACAGCAAACAGCCUUGACCUUGAGUGGGAUAACAGUGAGGCAGAAGUUCAGGAGUACAAGGUUGUGUACAGCACGCUGGCAGGGGAGCAAUACCAUGAGAUGCUGGUCCCCAAGGGCAUAGGUCCCACCACCAGGGCCACCCUCACAGAUCUGGUACCUGGCACUGAGUAUGGAGUUGGAAUAUCUGCCAUUAUGAACUCACAGCAAAGCGUGCCAGCCACCAUGAAUGCCAGGACUGAACUUGACAGUCCCCGAGACCUCAUGGUGACAGCCUCCUCAGAGACCUCCAUUUCCCUCAUCUGGACCAAGGCCAGUGGUCCCAUUGACCACUACAGGAUUACCUUUACACCAUCCUCUGGAAUUGCCUCAGAAGUCACUGUGCCCAAGGACAGGACCUCGUAUACAUUGACAGAUCUGGAGCCUGGGGCAGAGUACAUCAUCUCCAUUACUGCUGAGAGAGGUCGGCAGCAGAGCUUGGAGUCCACUGUGGAUGCCUUCACAGGUUUCCGCCCUAUCUCCCAUUUGCACUUUUCUCAUGUGACAUCCUCUAGUGUCAACAUUACGUGGAGUGACCCAUCUCCCCCAGCAGAUAGACUCAUUCUGAACUACAGUCCUCAAGAUGAAGAGAAAGAAAUGAUGGAGGUCUCCUUGGAUGCCACCAAGAGGCAUUUUGUCCUGAUGGGUUUACAACCAGCCACUGAGUAUAUUGUCAACCUGGUGGCUGUCCAUGGCACGGUGACUUCUGAGCCCAUCAUGGGCUCGAUCACCACAGGAAUUGAUCCCCCCAAAGACAUCACGAUUAGCAAUGUUACCAAGGACUCAGUGAUGGUCUCCUGGAGCCCUCCCGUUGCAUCUUUUGAUUACUACCGAGUAUCGUAUCGACCCACCCAAGUGGGACGGCUGGACAGCUCAGUGGUACCAAACACCGUGACAGAAUUCACCAUCACCAGGCUGUACCCAGCUACUGAGUAUGAAAUCAGCCUCAACAGUGUUCGGGGCAGGGAGGAGAGUGAGCGCAUCUGUACCCUCGUGCACACAGCCAUGGAUAACCCUGUGGAUCUGAUUGCUACCAACAUCACCCCAACAGAAGCCCUACUGCAGUGGAAGGCACCUGUGGGUGAAGUGGAGAACUAUGUCAUUAUCCUCACACACUUCACAGUUGCUGGAGAAACCAUCCUGGUUGAUGGGCUCAGUGAGGAAUUCCAACUUGUGGACCUGCUUCCCAGUACCCACUAUACUGUCACCAUGUACGCCGCCAGUGGACCUCUGACCAGUGGCACCAUCAGCACCAACUUCUCUACCCUCCUGGAUCCUCCAGCAAACCUGACUGCCAGUGAAGUCACCAGACAGAGUGCACUGAUCUCUUGGCAGCCUCCCAGGGCAGAGAUUGAGAAUUACAUUCUGACCUAUAAAUCUAUGGAUGGAAGCCGCAAAGAGCUGAUUGUGGAUGCAGAGGACACGUGGAUCCGAUUGGAAGGCCUACUGGAAAACACGGACUACACAGUGCUCCUGCAGGCAGCUCAGGAUGCCAUGCGGAGCAGCCUCACCUCCACUGCCUUUACCACAGAGGGCCGGGUGUUCUCUCAUCCUCAAGACUGUGCCCAGCAUUUGAUGAACGGAGACACUCUGAGUGGGGUUUACACCAUCUUUCUGAACGGGGAGCUCAGCCAGAAGUUGCAAGUAUACUGUGACAUGACCACGGAUGGGGGCGGCUGGAUUGUAUUCCAGAGGCGUCAGAAUGGCCAAACUGAUUUCUUCCGGAAAUGGGCUGAUUACCGCAUUGGCUUCGGAAACCUGGAGGAUGAGUUUUGGUUAGGGCUGGACAACAUCCACAGGAUCACAGCCCAGGGCCGUUAUGAGCUGCGCGUGGACAUGCGGGAUGGGCAGGAGGCCGCCUAUGCCCAUUACGACAAGUUCUCUGUGGAAGACAGCAGGAGCCUGUACAAACUCCGCAUAGGAAGCUACAACGGCACUGCAGGAGACUCCCUCAGCUAUCACCAGGGACGGCCUUUCUCCACGGAGGACAGGGACAAUGAUAUUGCUGUUACUAACUGUGCCAUGUCAUACAAGGGCGCUUGGUGGUAUAAGAACUGCCACCGGACCAACCUCAAUGGGAAGUACGGGGAAUCCAGGCACAGCCAGGGGAUCAACUGGUACCACUGGAAAGGCCACGAGUUCUCCAUCCCCUUUGUGGAAAUGAAGAUGCGACCCUAUAACCACCGCCUCUCGUCAGGAAGGAAACGGCGGGCCUUGCAGUUCUGAGCAGCGGGCAGUCGCAAGCCAAACGAUUUUUCUGUCCUUUGUUUGUAUUUUAUAAUAUUAUACAAGGGGGGAGGGUGAUAGCAAUGUGCUUUGCAACACGUGAAGGGUAUCUGAAGGAAGCAGGGCUGUAGCAGCGGUCAGCUGAUUACUGUCCGCUGUAGCUUCCGCUGCUGGGAUCCUGGCCCCAACACUGCACUCUCCCUCCUAGCCUGUCAUCCCUAACAUUCCCCUCCUUUCCCGCCAAGGAGGAAAAAUGGGACAUUCGCUUAAAUAACUGAUUCAAAGACAAGUCAUGGAGUACAAUUGUUAGGGUGAUAGGUGCACACCUUCUCUUUUCUACCCUCUCGAGAUGCCUCUGCCUUCCAGGUGUCGCUAAUCUGGUCAUAGCCCUUGAUGAUCAGGUAGUCACACAAGCUCAGAGAACAAGUCUUAGCAAAAGAAUCCAGCUAACAACACCCCAGAGAGGGAAAAAAUCGACCACACCCUGUCGCAAUGGCCCACGUCCUUUGGACUGGGCCAAAGUUCUCGUUUCUGACAUUCGUACCUUCCCAGAGCAGUGGCCUUUUUUCCAGCCAUGCUCUAACCUUUGUCUAAUUUCAUUGUACCUUAGAGCCUACAAUCUCAUCGCCCCUAUGCUGUUCUGAAAUCUAGUUCCCAGGAUGUUGCCUGCUGCCAGACCUGGGUUAUACAGGGGUUUCUUCGUCCUUGUGGGUCUCAAGCCGCUUCCCCUCCCUCAGGGCAGUCAGACAGUAACUUUCUUGGGGGUGGGAGAGGAAGAUGUCGGUAGCACUCAGGGUCAAGCUCUGAGGGAAAGACAGAAGCAGCGGAAAUAAGGGCACCUGCCACAGAGAUUACAAGUCCCAUGGAAAACAGAGAUCUUGCCUGGUUCCAUUUUUACCAUUACUGUUCUGCUUUGUCAUGGGUUAUUUUCCUGAACUUGCAAACUAAAGGCCUUAUUUCUGUCAUCAGCCAGACUCUUCUUGGUGUAUGUGGCGUAAUAAGAGUCAGAAGAAGAAGUUAUAUGACCAGCAAUCCAUUUUCUUAUUAAUAGUCCUGGGCAGAGAUGGAAUAUUUGCUUUGGGGUUUUUUAAAAAAAAAUUUGGUCCUGUGGGAAACAGAAAUGACCCUUUAAUGAGGUGAGAUCAUGAGAAGCCUUUCUCCAUCUUCUUUUAUUAUUCUGCUUUCGAAAGGGAAAAUGAAAAGUGCUGGAGGAAAUUACAUCUAGAAACCCAAAGGUGAAAGGGGGAGGCCUGUGGGUCUGUCCCCCGUGUUAUGAGAUGUGCUGUCUCCACCGGCGCAUGAUUGGAUUUUUAAGCCCGUGACCUUUCAACUUCUCCUCCAAAUCAAAUGCCAGCUGCAACCAUCCUGCAGGAACUGUCCGGAUUCAAGCCCAGGGCCCGCACCUACCGCUUCCCUUUCUUCUCCCACUCCCCAGGACUCCUGUUCUAUUUCCUGUAGGGACCGUGUUUGCCAAACUGGGGCACCUGUGCCUUUGCCAACCAGUGACUAGACAAGCCUGAGAUUGGUGAUUUCCUCAUAGAAACAUCCACCCUCUGAACAAGCUUUAACACCAAGAAGGGAUAGCCCCUUAGACUGUCAAUUGUGCUUUUGGGGGUGUGAGGAUACAAUCAGCCUGCCAUGUUCUUAGGGACCCUCUCUUUAGUAGUUUCCAGAAAGACUUCAUCUACCACAUGCCUGGAUCGAAAGGAGUAGGCGGCCCUUUUAUUUUUCAGUUCACAGUAGUCUUCAAAACAACUAGAAAAAAGAAGAAGAAAGAGAAGCCUGUAGAUUAAAUAAGGUUUAGCUAGAGACUGGGACAAGCGUGAAAAGAAGGAAGCGUACUGAAUGAGGAACUCCACUGUUAUGCAGCUGUGUGACUUUGGGCGGUCAUUUCUCCUCUCUUGGCCUCAGUAUCCUUGCCUUUUGGGUGAGAGAUUAGACCAAAAUAAUUCUAAUUUCUCCUUCAGUUUUAACAUCAGUAAUGCUGGUCCAUGAAAUGAAAAUCUGAAUAGAAAUGUGCAUUCAUGAGAGAACUCAAUUAGGUCAUAUGUGGAAAGAACAGAAGGAAAGAAGGAGGGAAAGUGAAAUUGAUUCAAAAGUCAGAAGUAACACACACACACACACACACACACACACACACACCAGAAAAGACAAUGCCAAGUAAGAGGCUGAACCGUGCCAGGGACCUGAGUGUGCUAGGACAGCCCGCCUCAUCAACAGAACUGAAACAGAACACAAUUGGAUGCCAUCAGUUCAGGUGAAAGUCAAGAAACAUCAGUGGAAACCAAAGCCUGCCUUUCCCUGGAACCAUUUUACCCCGUGGAGCAUUUUUAUAAAUAGUAUCAGCAACAUUCGCUAGUUGCAUUUUAGAGCAUUUUAAAGCAAGAAAGGAACUUCAAAGAUCAGCUCACCCAACACUCUAUAAAAAGAUUGUAGCUUCUUUUUGUUAGGUGAAGUACUUUUCUCCUGAGGUGUUUUUUGUUGUUUUUGUUGCUGUUGUUUUUUCCUUUUUUAAGCUAUUUUUAGGAGACUGGUCUUCUGUCUUGCCAAGACCCAUGGUCAAGUUGACUCAAAGCGUCUUAACCAGAGGCACUCACUUCUACACUGAGCUUCUUAGAUGAUGCUCCCUUACUCUGUCCCUGCAAGCACCUGUGCUUUCCCAGGGGAGGAUGUCAGAGAGAUGCAAGGACACCAAAGGGGCCCAUAGCGACUGGGAAGGAAAAGCAGCGGAGCCUGCCAUAAAGGCAGUCUGAUGAAGACAUAUUGGAAUGUAUACUUAUACCAACAAAACAACAGUACCCAAAAGAUCAAAACCAACUUCCAGUGAGUAGACUCACUGCCAGGCCCAAGCAGUUUAUCCUUUUUGUGUUGCCUAUCACAUGAGGAUUGUUUCCAAUGUAUCCAAUUCAUAUUCUCCAUGGUUGCUUCUGGAGAAAGGAGUCAGUUGUAAAGGUGGGGAAUCAGGAAGGACAAUGUUUAGGGGAGUGGUGGCCCUUAGGACAGAUUUAAUAAAUGCAGAGGGGACUUACUAAAAGCGACCACAAGGUGGCGCACACAACGCCUCCAGAGACCCAGGGGAAACAACAGCUGGCCUCUCCUGGUUUCUAGGAGACCUUGUUGCAAACAAAGAAUCAGGACUGAUCUGUAUGGGAGAUAAAGCUGUAAAAUGGACAGAUGUAAAAGAACAGCAAAGAGAUGAAGAGUAAACUUCCAUGAAGCUUUAAAUGAACAGUACAGACACCUACCACCAACCCAACUCCACUACUCAUGAAGUGAUGACCGUCAGACACCUUGCUCCUUCUCCAUGGGAACCGCCUAGCUCCCUGUGCACUACAAACUGCUGUUUCAAAGUCAAGCUCAAAGGACCACGGUUACCGGCGCUGUUCUGAUAAAAUUGAUUCCUGUUCUCAUGGAGUUUUCAUUCUGAUGAAAUGACAGCUGACAAAUAACAGUUAAUAAAAGGUUCUUUGUUCUCCUUCUGCUUCCCGAACACUAGCAGGAAGGCUUUCCAAUGGAGGACCUCUGGAAGCCCUACUUCUAGAUGAAGGAAGUGUGAAGCUCACUCUGGAAUAUAAAGUGCAUCCUGGAAUUGCGAUGUUGGGUGGGGCCUCCAGUAGUGAUUUCUACCUCCUUGGAAUCCAUGGACGGGAAGAGAAGAGGCCCUGGAGUGUUCCAGCCAGUAGGCAAGAGGUGCCAGGAGCACAGGGUACUUCCUCCUCCAGGAGGAACAUGGUGGGUCACUGGACAGAGCGCACCUCCACCCUAACAGCAGUGGGGGAACAAUCUUCUCUUGGAGCAGCGCACUCUGUGUGCAUAUUGGUACACAGGACAGUAUUCAGAAGCAUGAAUUGUAAAGCCUGUGACUAGGUUUUGUAGCCUCUAUGACUUGAGCUGUCUAAACUUCAUCUUUCUCAUCCAUAAAAUCACAUGAAUAGAAUCUAAUCAUAAGGAUCAUUGUGUGAUUAGAUAAGACAGUGUAAAGCAAGAAGGUAUAGUAUCUGGCACACAGCACUGUGCUGAUAUUUACUGGAGUCUGAGAUGGAAGAAAUCUGUAAUAAUGAUCCAAUAUUUCCUUAAAUAAAAUAAGUUUGUUAACUAUGA